UACGUAGGUCGCAAGCGUUGUCCGGAUUUACUGGGCGUAAAGAGCGCGCAGGCGGCUGGUCAAGUCCGAUGUGAAAUCUCCCGGCUCAACUGGGAAACUGCAUCGGAAACUGAUCGGCUUGAAGAUGGGAGAGGGUAGUGGAAUUCCCGGUGUAAUGGUGAAAUGCGUAGAUAUCGGGAGGAACACCAGUGGCGAAGGCGACUACCUGGCCCAUUCUUGACGCUGAGGCGCGAAAGCUAGGGGAGCGAACGGG
rnacentral:rRNA from 1 species